rnacentral:rRNA from 1 species
AAAUUGAAGAGUUUGAUCAUGGCUCAGAUUGAACGCUGGCGGCAGGCCUAACACAUGCAAGUCGAACGGUAACAGGAAGCAGCUUGCUGCUUCGCUGACGAGUGGCGGACGGGUGAGUAAUGUCUGGGAAACUGCCUGAUGGAGGGGGAUAACUACUGGAAACGGUAGCUAAUACCGCAUAACGUCGCAAGACCAAAGAGGGGGACCUUCGGGCCUCUUGCCAUCGGAUGUGCCCAGAUGGGAUUAGCUAGUAGGUGGGGUAACGGCUCACCUAGGCGACGAUCCCUAGCUGGUCUGAGAGGAUGACCAGCCACACUGGAACUGAGACACGGUCCAGACUCCUACGGGAGGCAGCAGUGGGGAAUAUUGCACAAUGGGCGCAAGCCUGAUGCAGCCAUGCCGCGUGUAUGAAGAAGGCCUUCGGGUUGUAAAGUACUUUCAGCGGGGAGGAAGGGAGUAAAGUUAAUACCUUUGCUCAUUGACGUUACCCGCAGAAGAAGCACCGGCUAACUCCGUGCCAGCAGCCGCGGUAAUACGGAGGGUGCAAGCGUUAAUCGGAAUUACUGGGCG